rnacentral:rRNA from 1 species
GAUGAACGCUAGCGGCAGGCUUAACACAUGCAAGUCGAGGGGUAUAGUUCUUCGGAGCUAGAGACCGGCGCACGGGUGCGUAACGCGUAUGCAAUCUACCUUUUGCAGAGGGAUAGCCCAGAGAAAUUUGGAUUAAUACCUCAUGGUAUGUGAGAAUGGCAUCAUUUUCACAUUAAAGUCACAACGGCAAAAGAUGAGCAUGCGUCCCAUUAGCUAGUUGGUAAGGUAACGGCUUACGAAGGCAACGAUGGGUAGGGGUCCUGAGAGGGAGAUCCCCCACACUGGUACUGAGACACGGACCAGACUCCUACGGGAGGCAGCAGUGAGGAAUAUUGGACAAUGGGCGCAAGCCUGAUCCAGCCAUGCCGCGUGCAGGAUGACGGUCCUAUGGAUUGUAAACUGCUUUUGUACAGGAAGAAACACUGGUUCGUGAACCAGCUUGACGGUACUGUAAGAAUAAGGAUCGGCUAACUCCGUGCCAGCCGCCGCCGUAAUAC